GAGCACUGUGAGAUUAAGGCAUAGCUAAAUCAGUGUUUCCCUUAUCAACAAUCUCAACAAUAUAUUUCCAAAGUUAAAACUUAAGAAUCAAAAAGUGUGAUUAUGAUCCUCAAAACACGUCUAGAGCCUUCAUAUAAAGUCUACCUCUAGAUGAAUUGGCCACUUGGCCACUUGAUCUGCUCUGAACCACGCCCCAUCAAUCUCACUCCAUCUUUAGAUUGCUUCCCAAGUACCCCUGCAAAGUAAUAAUAAUGACCACAAGAAUGAGAAAGCACAUGAAGCAAAAACAAUUCCAGAAGAACUGAAAAGGUGAGGUAGCAAGUAUAAAACCUUAUGUGUUUUCAUUGUAAUCAGUUCGGAAGAAUGUAUUUUCCCAGCAUUAAUAAACUUUGCAAUUCUACCGAAACCUAUUGGCUACAGAAAAAGAUGCAUAAAAAAAUUUAACAAUGUCGACAUAUAAAUGAC
rnacentral:lncRNA from 1 species